rfam:Triticum aestivum genome assembly, contig: Triticum_aestivum_CS42_TGACv1_scaffold_195077_3AL
UAUGUACUCCCUCCGUCCCAAAAUUCUUGUCUUAGAUUCGUCUAGAUACGGAUGUAUCUAAUACUAAAACGUGAUUUGAUAUAUUUGUAUUUAGACAAAUCUAAGACAAGAAUUUUGGGACGGAGGGAGUAUAUU